rnacentral:tRNA from 1 species
GCUGGUUUCGCUCAGUUGGUAAGCACCUGCCUUGUCAGCAGAAGGUCCUGGGUUCGAUUCCCAGAGGAGGCA